UCUUUCCAGAAAUCCCAGACAGACCUCCCACACAGCUCAGAACCAUGCCAUCUGGCCUACCUGAGCUACAAAGGCCUUGGGAAAGGUGCAGAACACAGAGCUGGCAGCCUCCAGAGCAGCGAUUUCUGAGACUUUCCAAGCUCAGUGCCUCCAUCCCCCGUCCAUCCCAUGUAUCCUGGAGACCUUUCAGUGCGCACUUUCAUUUACAAGAGACUGAUGACCCUCGCUUUCUCAAGAGUCCCUUGCCCACUUGCCUGGAGUUGCUUUCUGUGGGCUGGAGCUCAGAAUCAAGCUUAGUGAAGCCCUGACUUAGAGUGGAAUUCUUGCAUGUAACUUCUUUUCAAAAACAUGUUCAUUUCUUUCCUUACCUUGAAACAAUUCAAGCGUCUUGCCGUGUUCGUGGCACACUCUGUACCAGGCAUGUAGAAGAAAGGGUGUCAGUUCCCAGUAGACUAGAGAACAGACUUAGGCUGGGUACCGUGCUUUCCAAAGCACUGGGCACCUGGAGGCUUUGAGUUCAAGGAAUCUGGUCACCCGUUCUGGUUUCUUCUCUCAGAGGUCAAGUUUGGCUCAAGGAACAACAGAGUUAAACAUUUUCUCCAUCAAAAGCCAUGAGUUGUGAGAGCAAGUGUUUCUUAAUUUGUGGCUAUGAGCCCAUGCUAUAAAUGUUGAAGGGAGCAGUAAAACUUCUCAUCAGGGUCACUUGGCCCCUUAGGAAGUCUAUGGGAGUGUGUUCCUCGUGUCUGUAAGCUGCUGCCCUGGGGGAGAAGGGGCCUUGUUUUCUAGCAGCUUCCCUAGCCUUGGCUCCAUAGAGAGCUCAGCCUGUUAACAGGGAGGGGACAUGGGCAGUGUCAUUUCAGACGUUCAUCCAGCAGAAAUGCUGAUGUGGUGUCAUGGGGGGACUGGCACCACCUGGCAAGGAAGCUCAGCAAGCUGACGGCAGAGACUGCACAUGGGCCACCAAGGCUGUGGAGGGAGACUCACUUAGGCACGAGGCCAGGAGAGUUACAACUCUAUCGAUCGAAUUUCUCCCUGGAACAUCAUUCCUUACAUGGUCUGCUCACACUCAGGGAUUAAGAAAGUGGAGUUGCUGGCCGGGUGGACCAUGCAUGGGCUUCUUCCUGGAGUCUAGCAACCACGGACGCCCACGACGACAUAGAGGCCCCAAAACAGCACAAAGGAAACGUGGUCCAGUUCCAGCUAACAUGGCUGUGGGAAAGAAGGGAGGAGUUGCGAGACUGCAGGAGGCGUUAACAGUCCAAGGAAACGUGUAGGUCCUGUUCCGACCCCACUGUGGACAGAUCAGCUGUGCAAACUCAUCCUAGGAGGGUUUGGGAGGUACGGCUCAGCCUGAAAUGUGCUUGUCAAGCCAGCACCCACGAAAACCAGCAGGAGCUCAGGAGGUAAGAGCAAUGGUCGCUCUUGCAGAGGACCUGGGUUCAGUUCCCAUCAACCACAUCAAGUGGCUCCUAACCGCCAGUAACUCUGAAUCUAUGGGAUCUGGUACCCUUUUCAGGUCUCUUCAGACACUUGCACAUACACAGUACAUGGUGUGGGAGAAUUGUCUGUAUUCUGUCAAUCAUGUUUUAAAUAAAACGCUGAUU